rnacentral:rRNA from 1 species
UACGUAGGGGGCAAGCGUUGUCCGGAUUUAUUGGGCGUAAAGAGCGUGUAGGCGGCCAGACAGGUCAGCUGUGAAAACUCGAGGCUCAACCUCGAGACGUCGGUUGAAACCGUCUGGCUAGAGUCCGGAAGAGGAGAGUGGAAUUCCCGGUGUAGCGGUGAAAUGCGCAGAUAUCGGGAAGAACACCCGUGGCGAAGGCGGCUCUCUGGGACGGUACUGACGCUGAGAUGCGAAAGCGUGGGGAGCGAACAGG